GAUGAACGCUGGCGGCGUGCCUAAUACAUGCAAGUCGAGCGAACAGGCGAGGAGCUUGCUCCUCUGACGUUAGCGGCGGACGGGUGAGUAACACGUGGAUAACCUACCUAUAAGACUGGGAUAACUUCGGGAAACCGGAGCUAAUACCGGAUAAUAUAUUGAACCGCAUGGUUCAAUAGUGAAAGACGGUUUUGCUGUCACUUAUAGAUGGAUCCGCGCCGCAUUAGCUAGUUGGUAAGGUAACGGCUUACCAAGGCAACGAUGCGUAGCCGACCUGAGAGGGUGAUCGGCCACACAGGAACUGAGACACGGUCCAGACUCCUACGGGAGGCAGCAGUAGGGAAUCUUCCGCAAUGGGCGAAAGCCUGACGGAGCAACGCCGCGUGAGUGAUGAAGGUCUUCGGAUCGUAAAACGCUGUUAUUAGGGAAGAACAAAUGUGUAAGUAACUAUGCACGUCUUGACGGUACCUAAACAGAAAGCCACGGCUAACUACGU
rnacentral:rRNA from 1 species